rnacentral:rRNA from 1 species
UUCGCAAUGCCCGAAAGGGUGACGAAGCGACGCCGCGUGUGGGAAGAAGGCCUUCGGGUUGUAAACCACUGUUGGGAGUUAGGAAGUGUGGAGGUGUUAAUAGCGCUUUCACUUGACUAAAGCUCCAGAGGAAGCCACGGCUAACUCUGUGCCAGCAGCCGCGGUAAUACAGAGGCGGCAAGCGUUGUUCGGAAUUAUUGGGCGUAAAGAGCACGUAGGCGGCUCUGCAAGUCAGCUGUGAAAGCCUUCUGCUUAACGGAAGAACGGCAGUUGAAACUACAGGGCUUGAGUGCGGGAGGGGAGAGUGGAACUUCUGGUGGAGCGGUGAAAUGCGUAGAUAUCAGAAGGAACGCCGGCGGCGAAAGCGGCUCUCUGGCCCGUAACUGACGCUGAGUGUGCGAAAGCUAGGGGAACAAACGGGAUUAGAUACCCCGGUAGUCCUAGCCGUAAACGAUGGGCACUAAGUAGAGGGGUUU